GUGGGGAAUUUUGCGCAAUGGGCGAAAGCCUGACGCAGCGACGCCGCGUGAGUGAUGAAGGCCUUCGGGUCGUAAAGCUCUGUGGGAAGGGAACGAAAACGGACAGGGAACAAUACCCCUGUCCUCUGACGGUACCCAUCCAGAAAGCACCGGCUAACUCCGUGCCAGCAGCCGCGGUAAUACGGAGGGUGCAAGCGUUGUUCGGAAUCAUUGGUCGUAAAGGGCGUGUAGGCGGAAUGUUAUGUCGGGUGUGAAAGCCCUCGGCUUAACCGAGGAAAUGCACUCGAAACUGGCAUUCUUGAGUACGGGAGAGGGAAGCGGAAUUCCCAGUGUAGAGGUGAAAUUCGUAGAUAUUGGGAGGAACACCGGUGGCGAAGGCGGCUUCCUGGACCGAUACUGACGCUGAGACGCGAAAGCGUGGGGAGCAAACAGGAUUAGAAACCCGGGUAGUCC
rnacentral:rRNA from 1 species